rnacentral:rRNA from 1 species
UACGUAGGGGGCAAGCGUUGUCCGGAUUCAUUGGGCGUAAAGAGCGUGUAGGCGGCCAGGUAGGUCGGUUGUGAAAACUGGAGGCUCAACCUUCAGAGGUCGAUCGAAACCAUCUGGCUAGAGUCCGGGAGAGGAGAGUGGAAUUCCUGGUGUAGCGGUGAAAUGCGCAGAUAUCAGGAGGAACACCGGUGGCGAAGGCGGAUCUCUGGGCCAUUACUGACGCUGAGGAGCGAAAGCGUGGGGAGCGAACAGG